AUUGAACGCUGGCGGCAGGCCUAACACAUGCAAGUCGAGCGGAUGAAGGGAGCUUGCUCCUGGAUUCAGCGGCGGACGGGUGAGUAAUGCCUAGGAAUCUGCCUGGUAGUGGGGAUAACGUCCGGAAACGGGCGCUAAUACCGCAUACGUCCUGAGGGAGAAAGUGGGGGAUCUUCGGACCUCACGCUAUCAGAUGAGCCUAGGUCGGAUUAGCUAGUUGGUGGGGUAAAGGCCUACCAAGGCGACGAUCCGUAACUGGUCUGAGAGGAUGAUCAGUCACACUGGAACUGAGACACGGUCCAGACUCCUACGGGAGGCAGCAGUGGGGAAUAUUGGACAAUGGGCGAAAGCCUGAUCCAGCCAUGCCGCGUGUGUGAAGAAGGUCUUCGGAUUGUAAAGCACUUUAAGUUGGGAGGAAGGGCAGUAAGUUAAUACCUUGCUGUUUUGACGUUACCAACAGAAUAAGCACCGGCCAACUUCGUG
rnacentral:rRNA from 1 species